AGAGUUUGAUCCUGGCUCAGGAUGAACGCUAGCGGGAGGCUUAACACAUGCAAGUCGAGGGGUAAGGCACUUUCGGGUGUACACGACCGGCGCACGGGUGAGUAACGCGUAUGCAACCUGCCAUUAACAGGGAGAUAGCCCAGAGAAAUUUGGAUUAAUAUCCCAUAAUAUUCAGAAACCGCAUGGUUUCUGUAUUAAAGCUCAGGCGGUUAAUGAUGGGCAUGCGUGACAUUAGUUUGUUGGUAAGGUAACGGCUUACCAAGACUACGAUGUCUAGGGGGUCUUAAAGGAUGGUCCCCCACACUGGUACUGAGACACGGACCAGACUCCUACGGGAGGCAGCAGUGAGGAAUAUUGGGCAAUGGACGCAAGUCUGACCCAGCCAUCCCGCGUGCAGGAUGACGGCCCCAUGGGUUGUAAACUGCUUUUGUACGAGAAGAAAAAGGCCUACGUGUAGGCAACUGACGGUAUCGUACGAAUAAGCAUCGGCUAACUCCGUGCCAGCAGCCGCGGUAAUACGGAGGAUGCAAGCGUUAUCCGGAUUUAUUAGGUUUAAAGGGUGCGCAGGCGGACCUUUAAGUCAGUGGUGAAAUCUUGAGGCUUAACCGUAAAACUGCCAUUGAAACUGAAGGUCUUGAGUACAGUUGAGGUAGGCGGAACGUGUCAUGUAGCGGUGAAAUGCAUAGAGAUGACACAGAACACCGAUUGUGAAGACAGCUUACUAAACUGUUACUGACGCUCAGGCACGAAAGCGUGGGGAGCGAACAGGAUUAGAUACCCUGGUAGUCCACGCCGUAAACGAUGAUCACUCGCUGUUGGCAAUACAUCGUCAGCGGCUGAGCAAAAGCAUUAAGUGAUCCACCUGGGGAGUACGUCGGCAACGAUGAAACUCAAAGGAAUUGACGGGGGCCCGCACAAGCGGAGGAACAUGUGGUUUAAUUCGAUGAUACGCGAGGAACCUUACCUGGGCUUAAAUGAAGGACGACGGUUGCCGAAAGGUGACUUUCUUCGGACGGCCUUCAAGGUGCUGCAUGGUUGUCGUCAGCUCGUGCCGUGAGGUGUCGGGUUAAGUCCCAUAACGAGCGCAACCCCUAUCGUUAGUUGCCAGCGGAUAAUGCCGGGGACUCUAACGAAACUGCCGGUGUAAACCGUGAGGAAGGUGGGGAUGACGUCAAAUCAGCACGGCCCUUAUGUCCAGGGCUACACACGUGUUACAAUGGUAGGUACAAAGGGCAGCUACACGGUGACGUGAUGCUAAUCCCUAAAACCUAUCUCAGUUCGGAUCGAAGUCUGCAAUUCGACUUCGUGAAGCUGGAUUCGCUAGUAAUCGCGCAUCAGCCACGGCGCGGUGAAUACGUUCCCGGGCCUUGUACACACCGCCCGUCAAGCCAUGGAAGCUGGGGGUACCUAAAGUCUGUAACCGCAAGGAGCGGCCUAGGGUAAAACCGGUGACUGGGGCUAAGUCGUAACAAGGUA
rnacentral:rRNA from 1 species